CAACAAUUUUUUUGUCAACUCUUCUUUAAUUAUUUAUAUAUCAUCAAAUUAUUACUCCCAAACUAACCCUAAUUACAAGACAAACCUAGUUAUUAGCCAGAAGAAGAAGUUGAAGAAACUAUAUUAUAUAAUAUAGUUUUAAUUUGGAUAUUGAUAAUAAUGAUGAUGGAUGAUCAAAGGGUUGGUGAUCUUCCUCCAGGAUUUAGUUUUGAUCCAACUGAUGAAGAGCUUGUUUUAUAUUAUCUCAAAAGUAAAAUAGCUUCAAAUUUACCCUUCAAUAUUCCUCAUUUACAUUUUUCUUCUUCUGAUCCUUCCCAACUCAAUGAAAGGGCUUUGUGGAGCAAAAAUCAAUGGUAUUUUUUCAGCCAAGUGAAGGAAAAUAAUAAUCGAGCUACAGGAAGAGGAUAUUGGAAGGAAUUAAAUAUGAAUGAGCCAAUUAUAUUAAAAAAUUGUGGUGAAAAAGAAAAAAUAAUAGGAAUAAAGAAGAAAUUUGUGUACUGUAUUACUAGUAAUAUUCAUGAACAGGUACAAACCAAUUGGAUUAUGGAAGAAUUUCACCUCACAAGAGAAAA